rnacentral:rRNA from 1 species
UACGGAGGGUGCAAGCGUUGUCCGGAUUUAUUGGGUUUAAAGGGUGCGUAGGCGGCCCGUUAAGUCAGUGGUGAAAGCCUCCAGCUCAACUGGAGAACUGCCAUUGAUACUGACGGGCUUGAGUACAGACGAGGUUGGCGGAAUUGAUUGUGUAGCGGUGAAAUGCAUAGAUACAAUCAAGAACACCGAUUGCGUAGGCAGCUAACUAGGCUGUAACUGACGCUGAGGCACGAAAGCGUGGAGAGCGAACAGG